AUGAUGGCAAAGCCGGAUUUAAAGGAUUUGUUGACUCUGUCUAUGUUGGAUGUUGUCUAUGUUGGAUGUAUGGAUACCAAAAAACCUCUUUUAGGAUAUGUUUUCAUUAUGUUUGGCUUAAUAAUUAGUUGGAAAGCAACGCUUCAGAAGGUUGUAGUCUUAUCAACCAUUGAAGCUGGACAUAUUUCCCUAUCUGAAAUUGUAAAAGAGGCAUUGUGA